AGCAUAUCAAUAAGCGGAGGAAAAGAAACCAACAGGGAUUGCCUCAGUAACGGCGAGUGAAGCGGCAACAGCUCAAAUUUGAAAUCUGGCGGCCUCUGGGCCGUCCGAGUUGUAAUUUGAAGAGGAUGCUUUUGGCGAGGCGCCUUCCGAGUGCCCUGGAACGGGACGCCACAGAGGGUGAGAGCCCCGUAUGGUUGGACGCCGAGCCUCUGUAAAGCUCCUUCGACGAGUCGAGUAGUUUGGGAAUGCUGCUCAAAAUGGGAGGUAAACCCCUUCUAAAGCUAAAUACUGGCCAGAGACCGAUAGCGCACAAGUAGAGUGAUCGAAAGAUGAAAAGCACUUUGAAAAGAGAGUUAAACAGCACGUGAAAUUGUUGAAAGGGAAGCGCUUGCGACCAGACUUGUGCCCGUCGAAUCAGCCGCCGCUCGUCGGCGGCGCACUUCGGCGGGCUCAGGCCAGCAUCAGUUCGCUGCAGGGGGAGAAAGGCGAUGGGAAUGUGGCUCUUCGGAGUGUUAUAGCCCGCCGCGCAAUACCCCUCGGCGGACUGAGGACCGCGCAUCUGCAAGGAUGCUGGCGUAAUGGUCGUCAGCGACCCGUCUUGAAACACGGACCAAGGAGUCGUCCUAAUAUGCGAGUGUUCGGGUGUAAAACCCCUGCGCGUAAUGAAAGUGAACGGAGGUGAGAGCUUCGGCGCAUCAUCGACCGAUCCUGAUGUUCUCGGAUGGAUUUGAGUAAGAGCAUAUUGGGCCGGACCCGAAAGAAGGUGAACUAUGCCUGUAUAGGGUAAAGCCAGAGGAAACUCUGGUGGAGGCUCGCAGCGGUUCUGACGUGCAAAUCGAUCGUCAAAUAUGGGCAUGGGGGCGAAAGACUAAUCGAACCUUCUAGUAGCUGGUUUCCGCGAG
rnacentral:rRNA from 1 species